UCCCGUAUCUAUCAUUGGUGUAUAAUAUCUGUUAUAAUAUCCCUCUAUUAUUAUCUUUGCAAGUAUGUAUAUUUUCAUACUAAGGUUCUUUUUAUUAUUACUCUUUUAUUUUCAUAAUUUAUUGUUAACUGUUUGUCUUCUAGAUUAUAUGGUUUUACUUGUUCUAGCCAUUUUUAUUCCUAAAAUGAUGUUUUCAUCUCCUUGAUAUAUUUUAAAUUUUAUCACUAUUGGUACUCCUCCAAUGAUUAUUUCCUUUUAUGUAGUUUCUUCGGUAUACAUUAAUGCUUUCGGUAGUUCGGGCAUGAUUGUUCAGU
rnacentral:lncRNA from 1 species